UACGGAAGGCAGCAGUGGGGAAUAUUGCACAAUGGGCGAAAGCCUGAUGCAGCUAUGCCGCGUGUAUGAAGAAGGCCUUAGGGUUGUAAAGUACUUUCAUCGGGGAGGAAAAACAAAACUAAUAAUUUUAUUUCUUGACGUUACCCGAAAAAGAAGCACCGGCUAACUCCGUGCCAGCAGCCGCGGUAAUACGGAGGGUGCUAGCGUUAAUCAGAAUUACUGGGCGUAAAGAGCACGUAGGUGGUUUUUUUAAGUCAGAUGUGAAAUCCCUGGGCUUAACCUAGGAACUGCAUUUUGAAACUGAAAUACUAGAGUAUCGUAGAGGGAGGUAGAAUUCUAGGUGUAGCGGUGAAAUGCGUAGAUAUCUGGAGGAAUACCUGUGGCGAAAGCGGCCUCCUAAACGAAUACUGACACUGAGGUGCGAAAGCGUGGGGAGCAAAUGGGAUUAGAUACC
rnacentral:rRNA from 1 species